rnacentral:rRNA from 1 species
GACGUAGGGUCCAAGCGUUGUCCGGAUUUACUGGGCGUAAAGAGCGCGUAGGCGGUCUGUUAAGUGUAGAGUGAAAUCUCCAGGGCUCAACCCGGAAACUGCUCUGCAUACUGGCAGACUUGAGGGAUGCAGAGGUUUGUGGAAUUCCUGGUGUAACGGUGAAAUGUGUUGAUAUCAGGAGGAACACCCAUGGCGAAGGCAGCAAACUGGGCAGCAUCUGACGCUGAGGCGCGAAAGCGUGGGUAGCAAACAGG